rnacentral:rRNA from 1 species
UACAGAGGUCCCGAGCGUUGUUCGGAUUCACUGGGCGUAAAGGGUGCGCAGGUGGCCAGGCAAGUUCGAUGUGAAAGCCCCGGGCUUAACCCGGGAAUGGCAUUGAAAACUGCUUGGCUGGAGGAUCGGAGGGGGGACUGGAAUUCUUGGUGUAGCAGUGAAAUGCGUAGAUAUCAAGAGGAACACCAGUGGCGAAGGCGAGUCCCUGGACGAUACCUGACACUGAGGCACGAAAGCCAAGGGAGCAAACAGGAUUAGAUACCCCAGUAGUCC